rnacentral:rRNA from 1 species
AAGCAGCCACCCUUGAAAGAGUGCGUAAUAGCUCACUGGUCAAGUGAUUAUGCGCCGAUAAUGUANCGGGGCUCAAGCACACCRCCGAAGCCGCGGCACAUUCAUCUUUACGGUGGAUGUGGGUAGGGGAGCGUCCCCCAUUCAGCGAAGCCUCCGGGUGAUCGGUGGUGGAGGGUGGGGGAGUGAGAAUGCAGGCAUGAGUAGCGAUAAGGCAAGUGAGAACCUUGCCCGCCGUAAGACCAAGGGUUCCUGGGCCAGGCCAGUCCGCCCAGGGUGAGUCGGGACCUAAGGCGAGGCCGACAGGCGUAGUCGAUGGACAACGGGUUGAUAUUCCCGUACCCGUGUAUGGGCGUCCCUGAUGAAUCAGCGGUACUAACCACCCAAAACCGGAUCGACCAUUCCCCUUCGGGGGCGUGGCGAUUCGGGGCUGCGUGGGACCUUCGCUGGUAGUAGUCAAGCAAUGGGGUGACGCAGGAAGGCAGCCGUACCAGUCAGUGGUAAUACUGGGGCAAGCCCGUAGGGAGAGCGAUAGGCAAAUCCGUCGCUCACUAAUCCUGAGAGGUGAUGCAUAGCCGGUUGAGGCGAAUUCGGUGAUCCUCUGCUGCCAAGAAAAGCCUCUAGCGAGCACAUACACGGCCCGUACCCCAAACCAACACAGGUGGUCAGGUAGAGAAUACCAAGGCGUACGAGAUAACUAUGGUUAAGGAACUCGGCAAAAUGCCCCCGUAACUUCGGGAGAAGGGGGGCCGGAAUACCGUGAACACCCUUGCGGUGGGAGCGGGAUUCGGCCGCAGAAACCAGUGGGUAGCGACUGUUUACUAAAAACACAGGUCCGUGCGAAGUCGCAAGACGAUGUAUACGGACUGACGCCUGCCCGGUGCUGGAAGGUUAAGAGGACCCGUUAACCCGUAAGGGUGAAGCGGAGAAUUUAAGCCCCAGUAAACGGCGGUGGUAACUAUAACCAUCCUAAGGUAGCGAAAUUCCUUGUCGGGUAAGUUCCGACCUGCACRAAUGGCGUAACGACUUCCCAACUGUCUCAACCAUAGACUCGGCGAAAUUGCACUACGAGUAAAGAUGCUCGUUACGCGCGGCAGGACGAAAAGACCCCGGGACCUUCACUACAACUUGGUAUUGGUGUUCGGUACGGUUUGUGUAGGAUAGGUGGGAGACUUUGAAGCACAGACGCCAGUUUGUGUGGAGUCGUUGUUGAAAUACCACUCUGAUCGUAUUGGACACCUAACGUCGAACCCUUAUCGGGUUCACGGACAGUGCCUGGCGGGUAGUUUAACUGGGGCGGUUGCCUCCUAAAAUGUAACGGAGGCGCCCAAAGGUUCCCUCAACCUGGACGGCAAUCAGGUGGCGAGUGUAAGUGCACAAGGGAGCUUGACUGCGAGACUUACAAGUCAAGCAGGGACGAAAGUCGGGACUAGUGAUCCGGCACCCCCGAGUGGAAGGGGUGUCGCUCAACGGAUAAAAGGUACCCCGGGGAUAACAGGCUGAUCUUCCCCAAGAGUCCAUAUCGACGGGAUGGUUUGGCACCUCGAUGUCGGCUCGUCGCAUCCUGGGGCUGGAGCAGGUCCCAAGGGUUGGGCUGUUCGCCCAUUAAAGCGGCACGCGAGCUGGGUUUAGAACGUCGUGAGACAGUUCGGUCUCUAUCCGCCGCGCGCGUCAGAAACUUGAGGAAACCUGUCCCUAGUAC